GCUGUCUGGAACAGGAAGUAAAACGGGCCGAGAUGGAGCAAACACGGAGUAUGUCUCCAAGAAAACCCUCUCCUCCUCACACAACGUAUUACUAACUGACCCAGCCCCCUGCACUGAGUAUCUUCGGUCUGAAACCCUUGUACGAGAAAGGGGCUUCUGCUGGGACCCUCCCCUACCAUCCAGCCCUCAAGGAAAUGCUAACACAACUAGCAACAAGUAGGAAAGAUGCGAGCUGAGGGAGUCUGAGGAAGAAGAAUGGGUAAGGAGGAGAAGGUUGCCCACCCCUCCCCUUUCUCUGCCGGCCACCCCCCCUCACACUGUCCGCUCCUUGAUGACACAGCUGAUGUGAUUAAGAUCGUCCCCAAAUCGCUUCA